rnacentral:rRNA from 1 species
GUGGGUAGUUUGACUGGGGCGGUCUCCUCCUAAAGAGUAACGGAGGAGCACGAAGGUUGGCUAAUCCUGGUCGGACAUCAGGAGGUUAGUGCAAUGGCAUAAGCCAGCUUGACUGCGAGCGUGACGGCGCGAGCAGGUGCGAAAGCAGGUCAUAGUGAUCCGGUGGUUCUGAAUGGAAGGGCCAUCGCUCAACGGAUAAAAGGUACUCCGGGGAUAACAGGCUGAUACCGCCCAAGAGUUCAUAUCGACGGCGGUGUUUGGCACCUCGAUGUCGGCUCAUCACAUCCUGGGGCUGAAGUAGGUCCCAAGGGUAUGGCUGUUCGCCAUUUAAAGUGGUACGCGAGCUGGGUUUAGAACGUCGUGAGACAGUUCGGUCCCUAUCUGCCGUGGGCGCUGGAGAACUGAGGGGGGCUGCUCCUAGUACGAGAGGACCGGAGUGGACGCAUCACUGGUGUUCGGGUUGUCAUGCCAAUGGCACUGCCCGGUAGCUAAAUGCGGAAGAGAUAAGUGCUGAAAGCAUCUAAGCACGAAACUUGCCCCGAGAUGAGUUCUCCCUGAGACUUAGAGUCUCCUGAAGGAACGUUGAAGACGACGACGUUGAUAGGCCGGGUGUGUAAGCGCAGCGAUGCGUUGAGCUAACCGGUAC